AUUGAACGCUGGCGGCAUGCCUUACACAUGCAAGUCGAACGGUGACAGGUUAAGCUGACGAGUGGCGAACGGGUGAGUAAUGUAUCGGAACGUGCCCAGUCGUGGGGGAUAACUACUCGAAAGAGUGGCUAAUACCGCAUACGACCUGAGGGUGAAAGCGGGGGACCGUAAGGCCUCGCGCGAUUGGAGCGGCCGAUAUCAGAUUAGCUAGUUGGUGGGGUAAAAGCCCACCAAGGCGACGAUCUGUAGCUGGUCUGAGAGGACGACCAGCCACACUGGGACUGAGACACGGCCCAGACUCCUACGGGAGGCAGCAGUGGGGAAUUUUGGACAAUGGACGCAAGUCUGAUCCAGCCAUGCCGCGUGCGGGAAGAAGGCCUUCGGGUUGUAAACCGCUUUUGUACGGAACGAAAAGACUCUGGUUAAUACCUGGGGUCCAUGACGGUACCGUAAGAAUAAGCACCGGCUAACUACGUGCCAGCCGCCGCCGUAACAC
rnacentral:rRNA from 1 species